ACCGUGAUAAUAAGCACCGGCUAACUACGUGCCAGCAGCCGCGGUAAUACGUAGGGUGCGAGCGUUAAUCGGAAUUACUGGGCGUAAAGCGUGCGCAGGCGGUUUUGUAAGUCAGAUGUGAAAUCCCCGAGCUCAACUUGGGAACUGCGUUUGCAACUGCAAGACUAGAAUAUGUCAGAGGGGGGUAGAAUUCUACGUUUAGCAGUGAAAUGCGUAGANAUGUGGAGGAAUACCCAUGGCGAAGGCAGCUCCCUGGAAUAAUAGUGACGCUCAUGCACGAAAGCGUGGGGAGCAAACAGGAUUAGAUACCCUGGUAGUCCACGCCCUAAACGAUUUCUACU
rnacentral:rRNA from 1 species